UUUUCUUUUAUGCUUUAUCCUGAACCGCUUAUAUGGCUCUUCAGCACUCUUCCAACAAUUAUUAAAGGAAGCUCACGCUCACGCGGUGUCCUGUGGAUGUGACUUGAUGAACAGACCUACCGGAAAAUGUGCUGGGGUAAAGCAGAUUGCUGCUCUGGAGAGCAUCCAGGCAGUGUGGGAGUGCCAUUCUGCUUUGUUUUCCAUAGAAAAACCGUAGUUGCUCAGAUGUAAAUUAACCCUACGAUUCUGGCCUUCCCUUUUAAUACUUCAUUCAUUUGAAAUCAUAAACAUCACAAGGGUUUGGUGUUUUUUUUUUGCAACUUCUGGUCUAGCAGCACCUAGUCCUGCUGGACACUGCCUGUGGUGGGGCCAGCAGCAUUGGCUGUGGACUGAGAGGUGCUGGGAACAGCACACGGGUGGGUAGCUUGGCAGCUCCCAUUUGCAGAGCUGAUGCUGGUCCCUCGUUCUGAUGGGAUGCUCAGUACUGCUGAGUAGUUGUAUGUUGCUAGAGAUCAUCACAAUGGCAUUAUCUGCGAUCAUUAACUACCCCAGCCUUCACAGUGCCCGAUGGAUGGCUACGAAGAUAGCGAAGGGUCUAGAGAGGAAGAUGUAUGAAGAGCAGCUGAGGUCCCUUGGUUUGUUCAGCCUAGAGAAGAGGAGGCUGACAGAAGACCUCAUCACAGCCUACAAUUCCGCACAGGGGAGCAGAAGGGCAGUGCUGAGCUCUGACAGGAGACGUGAGGGGCUGCGGCCUGCAGGCACUGGGACUGAGCAGGCCCUGCAGGCCCAGCCAUGGCUGGGAGAGCAGAACCACUGGGCCUGUUAGCACGCCAGAACAGCAAGACUUGUCUAAUGAGUAAUUAGGAAAUGUAUUCUAAUUAGUGUCAAUCAUCUUGUGGGUGUGGAAAAUAAGACCACUAGCUAACACUGACAUUUUUUAAUGAGAUGACAAACACGGCAGAGGAGGAAAGCAUGGGGAAGGGAGCACAAAGAAACUGAUGUCAAGUGCACAGAGUCCCAGCACAGUGGUGAUGCCCCUUACUACCUUUUCCAGCAUGGGCCAGCAUCCCAGAGAGGAUUGCUUUGUGCGCUAGUUUGGAGUCCUCUGCCAUCACCUUCAGCAUGUUUCAGGCCACAGGAAGCCGCUGAUCUCCCCGGGUGUCUUGCUGCAAGGAGCCUUCCAGAUGCAAGUUAUUCUUGGAGAUCUUCUCCGUGCAGCUUGGAGCGUUUCAGCGCGAUUUCAACGUGUUUCUGACAGCAGUGUUCAGUAUCUCACUGCCUCUCUCACAAUGGAGGCGGGUAAAGUUUUUCCACCCGCAUUUCUUCUGCUUUAAAAGUUAAACCCAAAUAACUGUGUGCUUUGUCAGAUUGUCUAUCAAGUGUGCCGUUCACAAACCAAGAGAAUCUCAGAACUUUUCUUCCAACGCUUUCGUUUUUCAGACGUCAUCUCCAGAAGUUUCCCACAAUUUAAAUUGUAGCAAGUGUACCCUCUAUUAUUUUUACUUUGGUGGCAAUACUGAGUACUUUUGUUUCAAGUCAACCUUACACAUUUUAAAACAUAUUUUUCAA